AGUGAACGCUGGCGGUAGGCCUAACACAUGCAAGUCGAACGGCAGCACAGUAAGAGCUUGCUCUUACGGGUGGCGAGUGGCGGACGGGUGAGGAAUACAUCGGAAUCUACUUUUUCGUGGGGGAUAACGUAGGGAAACUUACGCUAAUACCGCAUACGACCUACGGGUGAAAGCAGGGGAUCUUCGGACCUUGCGCGAUUGAAUGAGCCGAUGUCGGAUUAGCUAGUUGGCGGGGUAAAGGCCCACCAAGGCGACGAUCCGUAGCUGGUCUGAGAGGAUGAUCAGACACACUGGAACUGAGACACGGUCCAGACUCCUACGGGAGGCAGCAGGGGGGAAUAUUGGAAAAUGGGCGCAAGCCUGAUCCAGCCAUACCGCGUGGGUGAAGAGGGCCUUCGGGUUGUAAAGCCUUUUUGUUGGGAAAGAAAAGCAGCAGGUUAAUACCCCGCUGUUCUGACGGUACCAAAAGAAUAAGCACCGGCUAACUUCGUG
rnacentral:rRNA from 1 species